UUCAUUUAAAAUUAAAUUAAAAUGCAGACCCUCUUGAACCGGUGACCAGGACCCAGGCAAGUGUGAGUGCCACUGAAAAAUCAGCUCGCGUGCCACCGGUUGCCUACCCCUGGUUUAGAUAAUGCCAAAUCCACUUGUAAGAUACAGGAACAUAGAGCUUGCCAUAAUGAGUCACCCCAUCCUUCAUUCAUGUCUUAUAUGGUCUCCUGUCUGGCUAUUGCGAAUCCCUAACACUUCAUAGGGGAAACUCCCAACUAUAAUGCACCUACCCAAUUCUGGAGUGACAAACUGUAUGCAUCUGUGUGCUUUUUGACUUCCGCUUGCGUUUUGCCAUGCUGUGCUGUACAAGCAUACAGUAGACACUACUAGUCCAUAUGCAGUUGGCAUGAGAGCACCAUACUCCACCAAAGUGCAAACUAAUUAAUUUUGAGACAGCUCCCCGCAGCAGAAAGCUAAGUGUCACACUUCAGUGAACUACCUUAGUUAAGCCAUUUUGUUAGUCUCAAGUAUUUUCAACAGGAAAACCUUGACAUGUACAUAGUACAUGUACACAACUGACAGAUUUACACUCUGGCAAGACAGUAACUAUGUAACACUUUAUAUAAGAAUCCUGGGCAGUCUUUAUUCUAUUUCAGAUAUGGCUGUUGUAAUAGUAAUCAGUCAUGUCAGUAGAAACAGACUCCUCCUUUGCCAGGAACUCUGAUACAUAGAUAGAUAAUUGGGACUAGGAAAUAAAGUUCCUUUGUCUUGUACCAGUUCUCUUAUUACACUGUUAUUAAACUCAUCAGUUAAAAAAAGUGAGAUGUGCAAGAUCAUUUGUUUCUGUAUUUUUUCCCCCAUCACUUUCACUCACUCCACAAGAACAUGGUGUUUCUUUUUGUUUAAUUAUUGCAAUUGUGUUGAUACAUAACUAAGUAUGCUAUGGAUAAAGUUAGUUUGUAACUGAGUAAAAUAUCAACCAAAUACUGUUAUUAUAUAACUAUAUAAAUGUAGUGAGGCAGUGUGGGUCUCUGCUGCCCCAGAGAGAGAUGAGCCUCUCUGGACACCAGAGGGUUAGGCAUGGCACAGGAAGUCCAAAGGCCUAACUCCAGAGCUCACUGCGAGGGCAGCCGCUGGGGAGGCUAGAUGUCUCCAGCCUACCUCCGAGUUGGGAAACCCCAGCAACCUGCAGCGGACCCAAGGGCUGGCUGGGCCUGCCCCAGGCCAGCUACCCGGGUUGCCAAGCCUGCCCUGCGCUGGCUAUCCCAAGGAACCCAUGGUGCUGGACCCCCGCCUGAGGACACCACCCUGACCCAGCUGCAGCCAUCACCACCACAAGGAUACCACAGUGCCUAGAGGUGUUCAGCAACUGGAAUAAAAACAUUUGAUUCAAACUCAACCUGGGCAAAAAUAAAGUGGUGUUUGAAAGAGGGAAAACUCUUUGAAGAACCAGCUGAGUCAUUGUCCUCCCAUUCCACUGAAAGCCUCUCCCCCAGUAGUGUUGUAGCUGGGUCCUCAUUCACUGCAUCAUCUACAAUGUACCAAGAAAGCUAUGCUUCUCAGGGGCAAUACAAUUCAGAAUGAAGCUCUGAGAGACGUGGAAACAAAGCAUCAUUGGUCCAAGGGGUUGAACUGUCAAACAAGUUUGCAGAGGAAAUCAGGCUAAUCCAGAAUCUCAGUUUCAGGGCACAUUCCAAAACACUCUUUGACAAAGCUUCUCCAAUAAAACCAGAUUAAUGGGGUAGGGAGAAAAAAGGAUGGAGGAGAGGGAGAGUAACAAAGAAAUAGAAAGUAUAUAUACCAAGCAGAGGAGCCUCCAUCCUUUAUAUGGAAAUGGAGAAGAACAGAAUUGUAUGACAUCAAUGUAGGGACCUUGCCCUGCAAACCAAAUCUUAACUGGGAAGCAGUUAGCAGUUUUCUGCAGCAGUAUCCAUCACCAUAAUAACUAAUAGGUAAGUGAACAGAAAGACAGGGAAAUCUACACAGAAACUGACAGAAGAAUCUAGAUCUUAAAAAUGUGUUUAUUAAGUGACAUGGGCAUGUUAAAUGUCCCAGUGGAUUUUGGUUAACAGGAAUGUACUUAAAAUGUCAGGGCUAGAUGAAGUUUGAUGGGGGGCCCCCUUUUUGCAUAUUCAGUUCCUUCCCUUUAUUGUUUUGCCACCAUCCGUGCCUGGUACCAAACACUCCACUCUAAAUUACCUUUAUUUCAGUUCUGGUUUUUAAGAAAGUGAUAUACCAAUUGUAAAGCUGAAUUAAAGUUCAACAGACAUUUUAA